rnacentral:tRNA from 1 species
GAGGGUAUAGCUCAACAGUAGAGCACAUGUUUAGCCUGUACGAGGUCCUGGGUUCAAUCCUCAGUACCUCCA